rnacentral:lncRNA from 1 species
UAGAAUGUCAAUGUAUUGUUUAGAGCUUGCAUUGUCAUUUUAGAGAUUGAAAUUUACUUGUUCUUGCCUUGAUUGUCUUGCUUGUUUCAAGUAUUAUAUACUGCUGUGGCAUUGGUGAUCAAACAGGAUGGAAGAUCUUAGUUUGAUCCCAAUGGGAUGAUCUGAUCUUGCAUUGAGUUGUGGUGGUGUUAGGUACACAAGGAGUGAUACAUGUAACUCGCCAACAGCCAAGAAUGUAGAGACAAAGGUCUAGUGCCAUUGCAUAUCAUCACUAGGACAUGUUAGUCCAUAAUCUACAGGAAGUGUAGUGUGAUUGAUUAUGCAAUGAGAGAUGGCCAUUGCAUAAUACCAUUGGAAAUAUCCAGUCCAAAGUCUACAGGAAGUGUAGCAUGGGUCAUUAUGCAAUGAGAAGUGUGUCUUGUGAGGCUCUCUAUGGUGAUUCAAACACCCUAGUUCCUGGUUAAGGAAGAGAGUAAACUCACAAGAAGAAAGCUAUCAUGGAAGACUGAUAGUUAUAAGACCAUGGGGAUGCAUAUGAUCAUCACAAGCUUAGCUCCUUCUAGUCUCGGUUCUAAGCUUGAGGGGGAGUCUUAAUGCAUAUGAUCCAUGGUCAGUAACAAGUCUUUGCAAAGGCUCCUACAAAGGAUCAUCAGCCGGAGCUAUUCUAGGCAGUCUAAGGGUGAAGGUGAACUCAUCAAAGCGGCUUCUAUGGUGAAGUGAUUGAUGAGAAGCUGAUGAAUCCAUUCUGCCUUUCCAAGAAGUUGAUGAUGCCAUGGAGAUGGUGCAAUGGCCGAGUGGGAACUCACCAAAACAAAAGGGAAGUGUUCUAAGCUCAAUUCAAUUCAAUACAUUCAUCAUUUCAAAUCAAAGUCUAGAAAUGAUACUUAAAAUGUUUGAAUGGAUUGUGUGAUGUUUCUUGAUAAGUACUGAUGCACCUUUGGGAUAAUGUAUCAGGUACCAUUGCUUGAGUCUCACUAAAGAUGUUCCUGGUCAUUUCCUAGCUUCUCUAAGGUGGCUGUUGUUGAGAUGAGCCAAGUAUAUGUGGAGCAAGUGAGGAGUUGAGACUAAGGAGAUGAGUUGAAGCUUGGAAAGGUUUGGGUAAGGUCCGUACUGUCCGUACAUGACCGUACCAUCCGUACACAUGGAGAUGGGUAAAACCUUGACAAGAGUAAAGAAGUUACUUGGGGAUCAGCCUUACUGGUGUUUUGAAGAUGAUCUGGUCGUGUCCUAGCUUCUCUAAGAUGGCUGUGAAGUCAGUUGAGAGGGGGAGACUUCAAACCGGUUCCAUGAAGAGGUGAAGCUGAAGUGUGAAGUGUGCGCAAAGCUGUGAAGUGUUGCUGCACCUAUUAGGCCGUGAUCCAGAGCUUCUUGUGUCCAACCACACUGGUUCUAAGGCACAAGAGCUCACUGGCCAAUCCCUAGGCCCUGGAGAGCUCUACUCUUUUUCCCUUGCAAGGUUUUGUCCCAAUGGGUUUUCCUUGUAAGGUUUUUAAUGAGGGAGACUCUUCAGAGUUCCAAGCUUGGCUUAGGAUCUCCUAAAGUCAAGCUUGAGGGGGAGUGUUGAACUGAAGAGAAGAUAGAGCUUGUACAAUAAUAGGGCAAGCUCUAGAAGAUGUCCAGAAGAGUUCAAUCAAGCUUCAGAAGUGUUCUGUAAACACUUUUGUGUUUUAGAGAAUGAUUCAAACAACCAGAGAUACUUAGAUUCAAAGAUUAAAGAGAUUAAGAGAUUUUAGGGAGAGAAUCAAGAGAGAGACUCAAAACUCCAUUAAUUAUUAAAGAUGAGGUUUACAACAUACUUAUAUGAGAGAGACAAUCAAUUUCGAAAUCAAUCAGAUAAGGUAGAGGUUCAGGGCAUGUGUAGUCAAAGAGAGCCAUCCAAAAGCAGCCAAUGGGAGUCUUCACAUGCUUGAUCCCUUUGGCAUCUUUUACUAGAUGCUGUCUACUUUCCAGCCUGUCUCCAGCCUUAUCCAGCCCUAAACCUUAUCCAGACUGCUCCUCCCUUAUCCAUACAGCUCCUUGGUCGUGGCUUUACUCUCCAAUGUGAGCCAAGGUAACUUUCCAAGCUUUAACUUAGUUACCACAGUAAAACCAAAGUUACUGUGGUAACUCCAAAGUUACUGUCUGUCUCAAUCCUCAUUCUCUAUCAAUGUAGUCACUCUUUAUUACCUCAUCUCAACAUUCUGAAGUAGUUAUCUUGAGAAGUUAAGUCUAGGAAAGACUUAGACUGAUCAUGUGAAAGGUUUGGAGGAGUUAGAGAGAAGAUGGCCAUAGGUGCAAAGCUAGGGCGAGUGGUACGGCCAUGGUACGGCCCUGUACGGCCUAGGAUGAUCCAAGAAGGUGUAUGGGUCGACCAUAGAAGAUGUUUGGAUGAAGGUAAAGAUAUAGGGCGAGUGUACGGACCUCAAGGCCGUACAUCGACCGUACAUCCCAUCCGGAUCGACCAAAGACCCGGAUCAGCUUUGUUUGGUGAUGUGCAAUGUGUGGGCGUGGAUUAUCCUUCCUUAUGUGACCUUUGGGGAGUCUUGGAGGCAAAGGAAGAUUCAAAUGGAUAAGGUGAGCUGUUGGUAUGAGCUGGAAAGGUAAAGGUGCUUUACCUUUACAGCCUUGACUCAUCUGAUCCAUCCAAUUCAAAUGAAGCAAUCUGAGCCCUCCAUUCAGUCCAACCACGACCAGCUAGCACCAGAACAUCAAAGACCAGCUUCCUCUCAUCCUAACCAUCCAUUUAUCUUUAAUUUACAGCCUUAGGAUCUAGGUUUAUGAUCUGAGUUGUGUAAAGGCAUAAAUAAGCCUCUUAGGAUCAUUUUGUAACUUUUAAGCUGAGAGAGUCUCUCUUCUUCAUAAACUUGUUCUUGGAUCUUAUUCUCUGGUUACUAAGUCUCUCUAAUCUCCCAUACACAUAAGCCAUGAGGAAGGCCGGUGAUCUGAGGGUACUUGAAGCUAAAGGCAAAAGGGUGGAUCAGUGAUUUAAGCGCAGCUGUUAGGGUGAUGUGCUCCUGGUCUUGAAGUUCAUUGAGGCUCAUUUCAAGCUUGGAUCUCCCCUAUACUCGGUCUCAAGCUUGCGGUGGGUAUUCAAAUGAGCAACCUGAAGAGCUAAAGUUCAAGACCUGUUUCCUCCUUAUCAUUACAAUAGAAUGAUAAAAUGAAGCCUGUUGCCAACAUUCUGUGGGAAGUCCACAGCCUGCUCCAAAGAGGGUAGAGAGGAUGUUGUGACAAUGGAGAGAUGACUUGUUGUUCUGUCCAUGGUGGUUCAGUCACCAUAGCCUACACAUCAGAUGAGUGUAGAGAGGACAGUUGACAUACAAAGAAGAGCAUCACCAGGAGGGUGAGGCAAUUUAAACCAAGACCAUCUGGUCACGCAUGGUAAAGACAGCUCUAGGAGGGAGAGGCUUAUGGAGCCAUUGCCUCACGGAUGCUCCAAAGCUCUCCAAGGCUGCCGGUUCAAAUGAAAGCUCAGCAGAUGGUGAAUCCGGUUCCAAAUCCGUAUCUGAGGAGAAGUGGGAACAAGAAGACCUCAAGGUCUUAUCCAUUCUCCAUAGCUCAAUGUCUCCAUCCAUCCUUGAAGCAUACUCAUACUGUGAGAGUGCUAAAGACCUUUGGAGUACACUUAACAAGAUAUAUGGGUACAUCUCCAACCUCUGUCGAGUAUUUGAGAUCAAGAAGUUCAUCAACAUCCUAUCCCAAGAAGAUGAGGAGUUCACUGUGCAUCUAGGCAAGUUCAGAGCCCUUUGGUCUGAGCUAGAGAUGCUUAGACCCCAAUCUGUUGAUCCGGAGGUGUUGAUUGAAAGAAGGGAGCAAGACAAGGUGUUUGGCCUAUUACUCGCCCUUAGCCCUGCCUACAGCGCCUUGAUUCAACAUAUCUUGAGGUCUGAGAAGCUCCCAACACUUGAAGAAGUGUGUUCCCACGUCCAAUAGGAACAAUCGGGUUGUUUGGAACAAAGGAAACACUCUCCUUUGCUUCUCAAGCUGAAAGAAGCUCUCAGCCCAACAAGGCGCCUUACAAGAAGGGGGAUAGGAGAGGUCUGAAGUGUGAACAUUGCAAGAGGGAUGGGCACACCUGUUCUUAAGUCUCUCACAUACUCAUAAACACUCUCACUAAUCCUUUUCUAUAUAUCACCUAGAACAAGCUCUAAUCAUUCUUCAUUGAAGCUUAUACACACACACAUACUACCAGAGUAGAGAUCUCUUUAAAAAUCAUACUAUUGCCUAUGUUUAAUCCAUCAAUGAAAGUCUUCUAACCCUUAGAAAUUGUCUAAGUUGCUUGCAUCAUUGGUCUUGAUUAAUAUGUCUAAUGGAUUGAACCUGUGGCAUUCAUAUAGUUAAUGCUUUAGGAUUGUGCAUUCAUGUAUUGAUACAUUUAAAAAUAAGCCUAAAUUGUCAAUGUAUUGUUUAAAGCUUGCAUUGUCAUUUUAGAGAUUGAAAACUGCUUGUUCUUGCCUUGAUUGAUUGGCUUGUUUCAAGGUUUAUAUUUGCUGUGGCAUUGGUGAUCAAACAGGAUGGAUAAUCUUGGUUUGAUCCCAAUGGGAUGAUCUGAUUUUGCAUUGAGUUGUGGUGGUGUUAGGUACACAAGGAAUGGGAUACAUGUAACUCACCAACAACCAAGAAUGUAAAGACAAAGGGUGAUGGUGUUAGGUACACAAGGAAUGUGAUACAUGUAACUCGCCAACAACCAAGAAUGUAAAGACAAAGGUCUUGUGCCAUUGCAUAUCAUCACUAGGACAUGUUAGUCCAUAAUCUACAGGAAGUGUAGUGUGAUUGAGUAUGCAAUGAGAGAUAGCCAUUGCAUAAUACCAUUGGACAUAUCUAGUCCUUAGUCUACAGGAAGUGUAGCAUGGGUCAUUAUGCAAUGAGAAGUGUGUCUUGUGAGACUCUCUAUGGUGAUUCAAACACCCUAGUUCCUGGUUAAGGAAGAGAGUAAACUCACAAGAAGAAAGCUAUCAUGAAAGAUGAUCGUUAUUAGACCAUGGAGAUGCAUAGGAUCAUCACAAGCUUAGCUCCUUCUAGUCUCGGUUCUAAGCUUGAGGGGGAGUCUUAAUGCAUAUGAUCCAUGGUCAGUAACAAGUCUUUUGCAAAUGCUUCUACAAGGAUCAUCAACCGGACCAAGUCAGUGGCGUGAUUGCGGCAAGAGGCUGUUCAGAGCAGCCUUGGCAAGUGAGGAAGAAGGCUCUCCAUCAAUGCGGCGUCAAUGAGAGGUGAUUGAGGAGAAGCUGAUGAAUCCAUUCUGCCUUUCCAAGAAGUUGAUGAUGCCAUGAAGAUGGUGCAUUGGUCGAGUUUGGAAACUCACAAAAACACAAGGGAAGUUCCCUUAGACUUUAAAACUCCUUUCAAUCUUUUUCAUUCAUCUUAUUCAUUGCUUGUGCUUGAAAAGAUACUUAAGAUGAUUAUGAUUGAAUUGUGAGAUUGUGUGCAUCAAAUGUGAUGCAGGAUAUUCAUUUUGAAUUUUGAGAUUGUGUGCAUCAAAUGUGAUGCAGGAUAUUCAUUUUCUUGUUUUUGAUAGGUACUGAUGCACCUUUGGGAUAAUGUAUCAGGUACCAUUGCUUGAGCCUCACUAAAGAUGUUCCUUGUCAGUUCCUAGCUUCUCUAAGAUGGCUGAGAAGUCUGUUGAGAGGGGGAGAUCCAAACCAGUUCUAUGAAGAGGGCAAGCCAUGUGUGAAGUGUUGAUCAGCCUCACUGGUGUUUUGAAAAUGAUCUGGCCGUGUCCUAGCUUCUCUAAGAUGACUGUGAAGUCAGUUGAGAGGGGGAGACUUCAAACCGGUUCCAUGAAGAG